rnacentral:tRNA from 1 species
GCGCUCGGCGCCGGGGCGUUCGCGUGGCUGGUGUGCAUGGCGCCGGCACUGGUACGGCCGCAGGGGCCGGAGCGGAUCGCCACCGCGCGGGCGCU